AUUGAACGCUGGCGGCAGGCCUAACACAUGCAAGUCGAGCGAGCGGCGGACGGGUGAGUAAUGUAUGGGAAUCUGCCCGAUAGCGGGGGAUAACUACUGGAAACGGUGGCUAAUACCGCAUACUAUCGGAUGAACCCAUAUGGUAUUAGCUAGUAGGUGGGGUAAAGGCUCACCUAGGCGACGAUCCCUAGCUGGUUUGAGAGGAUGAACAGCCACACGGGAACUGCGACACGGCCCAUACUCCUACGGGAGGCAGCAGUGGGGAAUCUUGCACAAUGGGAGUAAACAUGAUUCAGCCAUGCCGCGUGUAUGACGAAGGCCUUCGGGUUGUAAAGUACUUUCUGCGGGGAGGCGUUACCCGCAGAAUAAGCACCGGCUAACUCCGUGCCAGCAGCCGCGGUAAUUC
rnacentral:rRNA from 1 species